ensembl:rRNA 5S_rRNA 5S ribosomal RNA
GCUUAUGGCCAGGCCACCUUGAAUGCGCCUUAUCUUGUCUGAUCUCAGAAGUUAAGCAGGGUCGGGCCUGGUUAGUACUUGGAUGGGAGUAGGCUCUGUUGAAGGAUGGCAAUUAGGCUCUUCAUAGUCA